GCAGUCGAGCGAAUGGAUUAAGAGCUUGCUCUUAUGAAGUUAGCGGCGGAGGGUGAGUAACACGUGGGUAACCUGCCCAUAAGACUGGGAUAACUCCGGGAAACCGGGGCUAAUACCGGAUAACAUUUUGAACCGCAUGGUUCGAAAUUGAAAGGCGGCUUCGGCUGUCACUUAUGGAUGGACCCGCGUCGCAUUAGCUAGUUGGUGAGGUAACGGCUCACCAAGGCAACGAUGCGUAGCCGACCUGAGAGGGUGAUCGGCCACACUGGGACUGAGACACGGCCCAGACUCCUACGGGAGGCAGCAGUAGGGAAUCUUCCGCAAUGGACGAAAGUCUGACGGAGCAACGCCGCGUGAGUGAUGAAGGCUUUCGGGUCGUAAAACUCUGUUGUUAGGGAAGAACAAGUGCUAGUUGAAUAAGCUGGCACCUUGACGGUACCUAACCAGAAAGCCACGGCUAACUACGUGCCAGCAGCCGCGGUAAUACGUAGGUGGCAAGCGUUAUCCGGAAUUAUUGGGCGUAAAGCGCGCGCAGGUGGUUUCUUAAGUCUGAUGUGAAAGCCCACGGCUCAACCGUGGAGGGUCAUUGGAAACUGGGAGACUUGAGUGCAGAAGAGGAAAGUGGAAUUCCAUGUGUAGCGGUGAAAUGCGUAGAGAUAUGGAGGAACACCAGUGGCGAAGGCGACUUUCUGGUCUGUAACUGACACUGAGGCGCGAAAGCGUG
rnacentral:rRNA from 1 species